CGUAUGUAGUUCGUAGUGGAAUCUCUAAAAAAAACUUAUACUUAAGAAUGAAGGGAGUAGUUUUGUAUCGCAUUACCAAUGCAUACAAAUUUUAACUGAAAAUUAGCAUUGUGCUGCACUACUAGUGCAUACAGCUUUAGCUGAAGAAUAGAUAAAUGCUCCUCCAGGGAAAACCAUAUUCAGCCAACAGUGGCAUAUGCAUUAAACUUCAGAAAUUUUACAUCACAUUACACUCAGUAAGGCUCAUUCAUCACAUCUGCAUCUUCCGUCGCCAGAUUGUUGCACAUCUUCAGUGCUCCCCUCUAUGUACAGGAACUUCACCUAAAUGCCAGUUGCCCUGGUCCUCCAAUUGUUUGAUGGAGUCUUAUAUAUAUAUAUAUAUAUAUAUAUAUAUAUAUAUAUAUAUAUAUAUAUAUAUUACUAUGUCGGGAGGGCAUCCACAUGAACUGGGGCACUAGCACAGCCUUGAAGAUUUGAUCGAGACCAGAACCAAUUUCAACCGCCCUAACUUCAUGGAAAACGCCAUCACAUUGUAGCCUGGAACAUCUGGAAGCAGAUGAAUGGAUUCAUCUUUGAGAAUGUUACCCCCUCUCACUGUGCUUAGCACAACUUUAAAUCAAGCGUACUCUCUUUAGCUCAUGCAUAGGAUCACCAUCACUAGUUCCCUGCAGUGACCUAACUGCUUCCAAGGUUAAGCAUAUAUAGGUUGUUUUCCUGCCCCCGCAACAUUUUCCGUCAAGCUCAGCCACUUGUAUACAUUUAUGUAAUUUGUGGUGUUUAUUUAUUAAAAAACUUAUAUACUGUUGGAGUGUGUACUACACAUUUUCUUGCUCUUCCUUGCUUUUGGCUUGCGACGCUUUGCCAUAAAUUAAAAGAUGCUACUUUUUUUUCUUUUAUCAGGACAAUGUGGAGGGUCAACCUUCCAGCGGCAUGGUAUAUGCUCCCACUUCCCUUUGAUUAUUUCCUUUAUUGUUGCCCCAAUGUCAUGAACAUAAUGACAUUGUGUCUUAUCGACUCGUCAAUGCUCAGCAUGCUAGCAAUCCUGUGGGAGCUGAGGCAAGCAACCAUGGUGGCAAAAAUGCUGAGGAACAUGCACUAGUUCCAAUUGUUCCAAAUAACACUACGAAUUUUAGGAGCAGUUACUCUGAUAAAAAUACUGGGAUGGAAAUAGCGGUGAGAACAACUUGCAUCGUUUUCUUUCCUCUCCCUGUCCAUAUCCUCCUAGUUUUGUUUUUUGCUCUCUGACGUAUUGUUUUGUUGAUUCAGAAGAAGAGAGCAACGAACAGUCCAAUUGAUCAUGUUGGCAUAGGCAUUCCUNNNNNNNNNNNNNNNCAUUCCUGAUGAUGAAAAUGAUUCUGAUGAGAAUGAGAAGAAAAUGAAGGUAAUUAUCCUUUUCGUGACAUUAAACUAUACCAAAAGCUCUGUAGUUGUGCCAGUUUUUCUUACUGCUUUGUCUGAACUCAGGGUAGGCAUGGUUUCGUCUUGAACACUGCAAUCGCCUCACUUCCUUGCUUGGGGUUUCUCAUUCCUUAUUGGACUUUCUUUUGCUCAAAUGCAAAUUUUGACACUUGGAAGGACAUCAUUCCCACAGGACACCUUGUACUCACCAUCAUCAGCCUUAUUCUGAUAGGUCCUGCUUCAAGCUUCAAGGAGGGAGCAUUGCGUGACAGUUUUGGAUUCAAACUCCUCCAAAUAGCGCAGCUUUUAAUACUUCUGUGGUUGUGCUCAGCAUCAUUUAUAACACUGCAUGUUUGUAGAGAUAUUUCCAAAUCAGUUGUAUGGCCUUCUGCCUGUGCAGUCUUGUGCAUGACGGUGAUCAUUUGGAUGAAUUACUUUCAGCCGGCAGAGGUACAAUGCCUCUUGAUCACGACUGAUGAUUUCAAAUUAAAAAGUAGUAAGGUAUCAUACACAUGUCCUUUGAUUCUUUUUUCUCUUUCAGAUGGUGAUUAAGCGCAUAAAGACUAUGUUCAAGAAAGCGACGCAGUGGCUGGGAAAUCUAAGCCUACCUGAAUGUAUAACUGCUAAAUUCAAGAAAGUGCAAGGGACGCAGCUGAGAAGCCAGAGUCAGCCCAUGGACACGGCGUAGGCAGACUAAGGUUCCUACUUUUUUACGUUCUUGGUUAUCUAAAAUUAUACGUAUUUGUGUUUCUUUCAGAAGAAGUGGACAAAAUGAUACUAGUAACGAAUUAGGAUAGUCCAUUGAAUUGUCGUCUAUUGCCCUUUAUAAUGUUCGAAAAUUGGGAUAAUGUAGGAGAAAUAUAAUUUUGCAUGAGCAUUGUUUUUAUUAUGUGUAAUGUCACUGGUUAUAUGAGUGAAUGUACUAAGAGCAGUUAUUAUGACUGCAGAGAACCCUAUAUGAUGUGCUCCCGUGGGGAUAUAUCAUUCGUGAAAUCGAAGUGAGAUGAGGCUCUACGCAGCGGGUUGAAGAAAAUUUGCAACUGAACUUAAAGACUUUAUUUCCCUUAGCAAUUUGUUUCCCUGAUUAUGUUUUCCCCUGAGCAGAUUCAGUGUCUAUUGCAGUCGUUUGACUGAUUUUGACUAUGAUUAUGCCACAAUUCAGUGUGUGUUUUACGAUUUGAAUGGGGUCGAUAUGACUGGUCGGAACUUAUGAACGAUUUGAGAUGUGAUGUGAUCACGAUCAACAGUAAUUCUGAGGUAGCGCCUUUUUGAGAUAGUGUUUUGUUUAACUGUACUGACGUAAAAAAAUAAGUAAUGGGGAUGAACAAAUUGCCUGCUUUAUUUGGUAACUGAUUUCGUAAUCCUAAGGUAGUAGUACUUGCUUCAGUAAUACUCCUACUCCAGAACGAAAAAGUAAGAAUAAAGGCAAUGAAUAAUACCUGGGUUUUUUUUGGUUUCAACAGGGAAUGGUAUUGAAACCCAUCACAGUGGCUGUCAAGUGCGACGGUGGACGAGUUUCGCCGUGCUCCACAGUGAUUUGGGCAGUCUGAGGCAAGAAAAACAUGAGCAUGUGCAGGAGGAUGGGCACCUCCAUAACCGCCGCCGGCAGCCAAUGCCGCGGAUUGAGUCACCGUCGAUGCCGGAGAUCCAUGUGUCGCCACUAGCUACAUCCGACGCCGUCCCCUUGGGCUCUGCGGGCUGCCGCUAGAGUAGGAGGACAAGGAGGAGCUGCAGACCAGAUGGCUGAGAUGCUCAAGGCCCAGCCACCAAGGACGGGAAGAGGAAGCUACCGUUCACAGGGGAAUGAGUGAGGUGUGUGUUUGUGGAUAAGGAAGACUGGGUGACCGAAAGUGCUGUUCGUUUUGUCCUCGAUACCUCUCUCGUACUAGUAGACUCGGUCUGAGAUUCCCAAGUCCCAACCGGAC
rnacentral:lncRNA from 1 species